rnacentral:rRNA from 1 species
GAUGAACGCUGGCGGCGUGCUUAACACAUGCAAGUCGAACGAUGAAGCCCAGCUUGCUGGGUGGAUUAGUGGCGAACGGGUGAGUAACACGUGAGUAACCUGCCCUUAACUCUGGGAUAAGCCUGGGAAACUGGGUCUAAUACCGGAUAGGAGCGCCUACCGCAUGGUGGGUGUUGGAAAGAUUUAUCGGUUUUGGAUGGACUCGCGGCCUAUCAGCUUGUUGGUGAGGUAAUGGCUCACCAAGGCGACGACGGGUAGCCGGCCUGAGAGGGUGACCGGCCACACUGGGACUGAGACACGGCCCAGACUCCUACGGGAGGCAGCAGUGGGGAAUAUUGCACAAUGGGCGAAAGCCUGAUGCAGCGACGCCGCGUGAGGGAUGACGGCCUUCGGGUUGUAAACCUCUUUCAGUAGGGAAGAAGCGAAAGUGACGGUACCUGCAGAAGAAGCACCGACUAACUACGUG